AGAUGGCGACCGGCGCACGGGGGAGUAACACGUAUCCAACCUGCCGAUAACUCGGGGAUAGCCUUUCGAAAGAAAGAUUAAUACCCGAUGGCAUAAUUAGACCGCAUGGUCUUAUUAUUAAAGAAUUUCGGUUAUCGAUGGGGAUGCGUUCCAUUAGGCAGUUGGUGAGGUAACGGCUCACCAAACCUUCGAUGGAUAGGGGUUCUGAGAGGAAGGUCCCCCACAUUGGAACUGAGACACGGUCCAA
rnacentral:rRNA from 1 species